GAGAAAGUGGUAUAGUGGUUGUGCGAUUGGCUUGAAACCAAUAGAUGGGGGUUCGAUUCCUUCCUUUCUUG
rnacentral:tRNA from 1 species